rnacentral:lncRNA from 1 species
UCCAUUCAAAUAUCCCAUCGAACUAAUAAUUCAAAAUCAUGAAAUAGCAAGUUUAAUAAUAAUUACAUGGUUCAUCGAUCACCUAGUUGCAAAAAUCUAGCCUAUCAUGAUAAAAAUAACGAAAUCUAACAAAGUAUGAAUAAAAUACAUCACCGGGUUAUCAAAACUUGAAUAAAUCUUCUAAAUCUUGCAUCAAUUCUUGUUCUUGCUUUCAAAUCCACUCCAAGAUGAAUAUUUUUGCCUCCCAAGUCGUUCGUGCUGCUUCUG